rnacentral:rRNA from 1 species
CAGCCGCCGCGGGAAUACGGAGGGUGCAAGCGUUAAUCGGAAUUACUGGGCGUAAAGCGUGCGCAGGCGGUUGUGUAAGACAGGUGUGAAAUCCCCGGGCUUAACCUGGGAACUGCGCUUGUGACUGCACAGCUAGAGUAUGGCAGAGGGGGGUGGAAUUCCACGUGUAGCAGUGAAAUGCGUAGAGAUGUGGAGGAACACCGAUGGCGAAGGCAGCCCCCUGGGCCAAUACCGACGCUCAUGCACGAAAGCGUGGGGAGCAAACAGGAUUAGAUACCCCCGUAGUCCCUGUCUCUUAUAU